UCCUUGUUGGCCAAUCCAACAAACCAAAAAUCCCUAAUUUUUUCAAAUUUUUUGAUCAGUUUUUUUUCCCUAAUAAUCUAAACGCUAUAAAAGCAACGGAGAAGAUACCGCAAUUAAUAGUACCACGUUUGUCAGUCAAGUCGAAAAUACUUCAGAAUGCCUGGUUGCACUUCUCGUAGCUCUUGUGCUUCUUGCCCCAAGACUACAAAACCCAAAGCUAAAUCAUCGACCAAGGUCAAGAAACCGGCAGCGAAAAAAUCCACUACAAAAUCUACAACGAAGAGGAGAUCUGCUGCUUGCUCUCCUUGCGGCCCUUGCGGUUCUUGUGGUCCUUGUGGUCCCAAGAAAGCCAAGUCAAGCACGAAGGUAUGAAAGUACAAGAAAGCUAAAGCACCCCGCCGCCGCCGUCGCACCACCAACUGUUGCGAAGACUGCUCCUCUUCUGAUUACAGCACUUCCGACACGUGUAGCUGCUCAGAUUGCUGCACUUCCGACAGCUUUUUCUCUUCGGACUAUGAAACCACCGACAGCGACGACUGCUGUGCUGCUCCAAGAAGAGGAUGCCCAAGGCGUUAAAUGUACUUACAACGCUGGUCGUUAUUUUAAUUUGUUAUGUAAGUUAGUGUAUUUAAGUACUAGUUUUAGUGUUUGACAUGUGUAUUAUCUAAAAUGUUUUAAAUUUCAUUGAUUCCAUUGAUGUUUGCCUACUGAAUAUGUUAUGUAAUGUAUUACUGAUGAUAAAUGAAUAAAGCUUUCUAACGAAA